AAGUCGUAACAAGGUUUCCGUAGGUGAACCUGCGGAAGGAUCAUUAUUGAGAGGAAGGCGUCCGCGCCUUCGCGGUGCAUCUGCACCCGACUCUUCACCCUCGUGCGUACCGACCAUCGUUGCUUUGGCGGGUAUGAAGGCCUUAUCCGCCCUCUAUCGAACCCCGCCGAAGACCCUUUUUUUAAGCCUUAUAUGAAUGCAGUCCGAGUCUUUUAAGCAAUCAAAAUUAAAAAAACUUUCAACAACGGAUCUCUUGGUUCUG
rnacentral:misc_RNA from 1 species